CUGGUUGAUCCUGCCAGUAGUCAUAUGCUUGUCUCAAAGAUUAAGCCAUGCAAGUCUAAGUUCAGCUUUAAGUAAGGUGAAACUGCGAACGGCUCAUUAUAUCAGUUAUAGUUUAUUUGAUGAUGCCUAACCACGAGGAUAACUGUGGUAAUUCUAGAGCUAAUAUUCGAAACUGAAUCCCAACUUCUGGGCGGGAUGUAUUUAUUAGUUAAAAACCAACCCGGGAAACCGGCCCCUGGUGAUUCAUAGUAACUUAGCGAAUCGAGGCUUACACGGCCACGCGAUGGUUCAUUCAAAUUUCUGCCCUAUCAACUUACGAUGGUAGGAUAGAGGCCUACCAUGGUGACAACGGGUAACGGGGAAUUAGGGUUCGAUUCCGGAGAGGGAGCCUGAGAAACGGCUACCACAUCCAAGGAAGGCAGCAGGCGCGCAAAUUACCCAAUCCCGACACGGGGAGGUAGUGACGAAAAAUAACAAUACAGGGCCAUAAGGUCUUGUAAUUGCAAUGAAAGCAAUCUAAACACACGUCAUUAAGGAACAAUUGGAGGACAAGUCUGGUGCCA
rnacentral:rRNA from 1 species